rfam:Oryza sativa Japonica Group DNA, chromosome 9, cultivar: Nipponbare, complete sequence.
UUUAAGUGCAACUAUAAAUUUUCGUACUUAACUUUGAUCAUCCGUCUUAUUUGAAAUUUUUUUUAUAAUUAGUAUUUUUUAUUGUUAUGAGAUAAUAAAACAUAAAUAUUACUUUACUCGUGACUUAUGUUUUUAAAUUUUUUCAAAAAAUAUUCAAAUAAGAUGGACGAUGAAAGUUGGGCGUAAAAAACUAUAGUUGUACUUGAA